rnacentral:rRNA from 1 species
AUUGAACGCUGGCGGCAGGCCUAACACAUGCAAGUCGAACGGUAGCACAGAGAGCUUGCUCUCGGGUGACGAGUGGCGGACGGGUGAGUAAUGUCUGGGAAACUGCCCGAUGGAGGGGGAUAACUACUGGAAACGGUAGCUAAUACCGCAUAACGUCGCAAGACCAAAGUGGGGGACCUUCGGGCCUCACACCAUCGGAUGUGCCCAGAUGGGAUUAGCUAGUAGGUGGGGUAAUGGCUCACCUAGGCGACGAUCCCUAGCUGGUCUGAGAGGAUGACCAGCCACACUGGAACUGAGACACGGUCCAGACUCCUACGGGAGGCAGCAGUGGGGAAUAUUGCACAAUGGGCGCAAGCCUGAUGCAGCCAUGCCGCGUGUAUGAAGAAGGCCUUCGGGUUGUAAAGUACUUUCAGCGGGGAGGAAGGCGGUGAAGUUAAUAACUUCACCGAUUGACGUUACCCGCAGAAGAAGCCCCGGCUAACUUCGUGCCAGCCGCCGCGGUAA